AACGAACGCUGGCGGCAGGCUUAACACAUGCAAGUCGAACGGACGUAGCAAUACGCUAGUGGCAGACGGGUGAGUAACGCGUGGGAAUGUGCCCUUUAGUUCGGAAUAACACAGAGAAAUUUGUGCUAAUACCGGAUAAGCCCGAGAGGGGAAAGAUUUACCGCUGAAGGAGCAGCCCGCGUCUGAUUAGCUAGUUGGUGAGGUAAUGGCUCACCAAGGCGACGAUCAGUAGCUGGUCCGAGAGGAUGAUCAGCCACACUGGGACUGAGACACGGCCCAGACUCCUACGGGAGGAAGCAGUGGGGAAUAUUGGACAAUGGGGGCAACCCUGAUCCAGCCAUGCCGCGUGAGUGAUGAAGGCCUUAGGGUUGUAAAACUCUUUUGUCCCGGAAGAUAAUGACUGUACCGGAAGAAUAAGCCCCGGCUAACUUCGUGCCAGCCGCCGCGGUAA
rnacentral:rRNA from 1 species